GAGAUUGGACGAGUGCACUCACAGGAAUGCUGGAGUUGAGCUGACCGCCCCCAAUCAGGGGUCCUGUCUGGAAGUUCUUCGGGUAGACGUCGCCGCCAAACUUAUGGUACUUGUCGGAUUUCCAGGCUAUGUCCUUCUUGUUGACUUCUAGAACCUUGCUGUUUAUGGAAAAUCUGUACGUGUCGUUGAACAAGCUCCAGGCAAUGAGACCGCAAGGGACAAUCACCGACCCAUUGGAGGUCUUGGCUUCAGGGCUACAAGACUCUGUGUCGCGCUCACCUUUCCUGCUUCUCAACUGUUUAUCACUUCGGCUCUUGACAUACCUGAAAUAGAC
rnacentral:lncRNA from 1 species